UACGGAGGGAGCUAGCGUUGUUCGGAAUUACUGGGCGUAAAGCGCACGUAGGCGGCUUUGUAAGUUAGAGGUGAAAGCCCGGGGCUCAACUCCGGAACUGCCUUUAAGACUGCAUCGCUUGAAUCCAGGAGAGGUGAGUGGAAUUCCGAGUGUAGAGGUGAAAUUCGUAGAUAUUCGGAGGAACACCAGUGGCGAAGGCGGCUCACUGGUCCGGAACUGACGCUGAGGUGCGAAAGCGUGGGGAGCAAACAGG
rnacentral:rRNA from 1 species